CUCUUUCUCUGUGAAUUUCUUGAGAGCACAGACUACAUUCUGCUUAACUUUUUAUCCCCAGCUUUCAGCACAGUGCCUGGCUGCUUUGGCGUCUCCAAGUACCUGACCUCAGCUCAACCUGUCUUGGGUUUUCUUCUCCUCCCUGACAUUGACAACCCAGCCCUCCUAGGCACAGAGAGAUGGAGCUGAGUGUGGUUUUCCUGAAAUAAAGCUUGCAUUAUGAGAGGGAAUAAACAGAAGAAAAAAAUAAAAAAGCCUAAUUAUUUGGUAUUGUAUGCUACAAAAGAGAAAUGCCAUAAUUCCCAGUGGGGGCUGUGGAUACUGGACCCCCAUAACCAGGUGCCAGAGAUCACGUGGUGUUCAAAGUCCAAAUUAUAAGCAUAGUGCCGAGGACUCUGAGGAUGACUUCUGCACAUCUUCCGAAAAGGGAUGGAACAGCAGAAUGAGUGCCAUCAUGGCUUGGAUGGUUGGAGGUGCUUUGGGCAUGAAGACCCUCUAACUGUGAAGUUAGAGGCUUCCAAUGUUAGCUCUGUUUUAAGUAUAUGCACAAAGUCACAGUCUCAUAGCUGAGCUAUUAAAAAUAAAAUCAACAC
rnacentral:lncRNA from 1 species